rnacentral:rRNA from 1 species
AACGAACGCUGGCGGCAUGCCUAACACAUGCAAGUCGAACGAGACCUUCGGGUCUAGUGGCGCACGGGUGCGUAACGCGUGGGAAUCUGCCCUUGGGUUCGGAAUCACUCAGAGAAAUUUGAGCUAAUACCGGAUGAUGCCGAAAGUCCAAAGAUUUAUCGCCCAAGGAUGAGCCCGCGUAAGAUUAGCUUGUUGGUGGGGUAAUGGCCUACCAAGGCGACGAUCUUUAGCUGGUCUGAGAGGAUGAUCAGCCACACUGGGACUGAGACACGGCCCAGACUCCUACGGGAGGCAGCAGUGGGGAAGAUUGGACAAUGGGCGAAAGCCUGAUCCAGCGAUGCCGCGUGAGUGAUGAAGGCCUUAGGGUUGUAAAGCUCUUUUACCAGGGAUGAUAAUGACGGUACCUGGAGAAUAAGCUCCGGCUAACUCCGUGCCAGCCGCCGCGGUAACAC